GUACGUCGUUCUCAGUGCGGGUCCUGGGGGCGGCGGUGCCGGGGGUACGGCCUGGGGUCCCGUCGGUGUCCACUGCCCGCCUGGGCGCUGGGGCCGCAGAUCGGGGCUACACGGCUCGCGCCGACCGAACGCUGCCGCCAGAGCGGUGGAAAAGCGCUGGGCAGGCCGGCCUGGGGCUUUCGAGCUCUGCCGCCGAGCGCAGCAGAAAUACGGUGUGCAGGCAGGACCCGAAACAGGAGAGACCGGGGGGACCGGGGAGGAGAGGAAGGCUGGCUGUGGCAGGAACCCGGGCGCUCGGCACCUCCCCUGGUCCCGGGGGCCCUGAACCCCCGCCGCCGUCGCCGCCGGACCCCGCGAUCGUCCUGAACCCGGGCCGGGCGCUUUCGGUUUCCCGGCGCUCUGCGGCGCUGCUUUGUUCACCCUGCGCGCGCGGUUCCCAGAGUCCAGAGCUGCGGGCCUGAGGCUGAGGGCCAGGGAGCGAGGCGAGCACCCGGGGCCAGCCACGGAGGAGUCCCGACCACCACGGGAGCAGGGGGACUGGGAGGGUCUCGGUGUGACCAACUAAGCAGACACUCAGCGGCAGCGCCGCGCUUGGGGAGACUGCAGGGCAGAAAUGGGCCUAGAGGUGAAGGAGCCCUUCCCAAAUCGGACAGUCCCGGGGCUGGAGAGCCGGGAGCAACCCAGUUCCCUGAAGAAAUGAUUGCAGCUGCUCAGGCAAAACACGGUCUCCAGCACUGGGAAGGCGACAGCGGCGACAGUGCACCGUCCCCCUUGCACGCACUGAGGAGCCUGUCUUGGAGCUGAGACCUCCUCGCCCCCUCCGAGCUUACUGAGCACCCGGCCGGCAGCCCCCCGACUCCCCAGGAUGCUGCCUUGACCCCACCUAAUCUGGUCACUCACCUCCUAACCUUUCAGGGUCCAAGAGGACCCGCGUCCUGCCCCACCUUGCUGGGUGCAGAGCCGGGUGCACGCGGGACCCGCACUCGCUCUGGGCGAACACGCAGCGCCCUUCCCGGCCUCAGGCCGAGCCGGACCGCAACGCCGCUAUUAGUAAGGACUAAAAACAAAAGUUCUCCCCGAAGCCCACCUUUCCCCAGUAAGAAGGUGUCAAGGGUUAAACCGUUCGAUUUGCCCUUUUUCUUGAUCUUAGAGGGAAGAGGCAAGAACUCCUGGCACCUUUAUGGGCCUCAGACCUGUGGCUGCUGCCAGCAGUCUCAGUCCCACUAACUUUGAUCAGCCUUAUUAAUUCCAGCUGUGCUCUAUUUGUUUGUCAUUUUCCCCUUUUCCUCUGGAAUCAUUAUUUAUAGCAGGAAAAAAAAAAGCCCACUGUUAGAAUGGAGGCAAGGAGGGAAUUUCUGAGAACGACUGGGUGAAUGUAUUUUUCCUUAAAGGUCACCAAAAAGGAGGAGAGGUGUAGGGGUGAGUCUUGACUCUUAUGAGCUCUUCUUUGAAUUUAUUACUCAAGAGCAUUAACUAAUUACCAGAUCAGAUAAAUGAAAAAAAAAUUCCCUAAAAUAACCCAAGGUAAUUAUAACCGUGCUGUUGACACUAACGAUUAAUAAUUGAUCAGGAGUCACACACAAUAAAUUGUCAAUUUAUCUCCCCACAAAAAUGCGAGUGCUUGUGUAGCAUUGUGUUUUGUUUCUUCCCUCUGGGUAUUUUCUGUGAAUAUCGAGUCCGUAUUGGAGGCAGCCCCAAACCUCAUAGUCAAUUCUUUAAGAAUAUUACAUUUCAUUUAUUUACAGCUCCAUAUAGAACAAAGUAACAUUAGAACACCUUUUAAAAAUACUUUUAUUAUCAUGGGGCCAGAGUUAAACAAACAAAAAAAAUUCUUCCUCUUUCCUUUUAUCUGGGAUUGCGCAAAUACGGACAACAGAUAUUUCCUUUCUUCAUUGUAUUAGCAAUACAGUCCUCUUAAAUUGUGUCUUCAAUUAUUAUCUUUCUUAGAAAGAGAGAGAACACUCUGCCUUCACGGUAGGAAACACAAGACUAUUCUCUGUUCCAAGGGUGGAGGGGACAGAGGUGCCGGUUGAGGCCACAUCCAUCUGUUUCUAGGGAUGCAGCUGAAGGGAGAGGCUGAUGCAUACAAGUGGGGUGUCUGCUUCCUAAAACUGGGGCUCAAAGUGUUUUCUCUUCCACCCAUCAAUGGCUGAGGUCCAAGUGCAUAUUGUUGAAAACCAGAUUCGUAGCAUUCUAGCCCAAGCAAAGGGGAGGGCUAGUGAGUGCUUUCAUUAUGGCCAAUAGAUAGUAAUUUUCAGCAACUGGAAAAUUAUAUUGUCAUAGAUUACUUCUCCUUAUAAUUAGCCUUUAAAAUAUCUGUAGGGAUUUGUCACUUGCAUAAAGGUUUGAAAAUACAUCAAAGGGACAUGUCCCCCUUGCGAUUUGUAGAAAUUCAAAUGAUGUUAAUCAUAAUAUCCACAUAGCACAGACGGUUGUGUAUUGUUCCCAAGAUAGCCUCUUCGGUUAACGCUUUCAAAAAAAUAGUUAAAAUGUUAUGUUUGUAAAAGCAGUUUAAAACAUAUUUAUUAUAUCUAUUUAUAUUUUAAUUUUGAGUCUAAAUGAAUGUUUUCCUUGGGAUUCUCAAGGUACUGGGCAACUAAAGAAAAAUUAUAUAGUGAUAAUUAUUGUAUAUUGUUACUUGGAUGAAACUUUCUCAUAAUUCACUUCAGAGUGUUAUUGAAAUUUGAAAAUGCCUCUGAGUGGACCACAAAUUUGUUUGGAACAAUUUUUUUUUCCAAAUUGAUGUCUGUUUAAUUAGGCUGUAACAGUGGUAGUUUAGUAUGUACAUUCACUCCGUAGUUAAAAAACAAAGGGUCCACUUUACUUUUAGCCUCCUUGAUAUGUACUUAAAUGCAAUUGUAAAUGAUCCGAAAACGCGCACGGGCUUCGGAGGUGGCUAUUUCAUCUUUGUGUUUCUUCGCAGUGGUUCUCGCCUCCCAGAAUCCGCAGAGAUCUAAUAAACACAUAAGUUAAAGAGAGCCUCAGGGGAACCCCGAGCCCUCUCCCACCACUCUCCCAACUCCAGAAUGAGAUCCGCGGCGGCCCGGCGAGGGGGUUCUGGGGAGGCGCACCCCAGGCUGGCUACCCUGAGCCCAGGCCCAAGGCUGCCCCUCUAGGCCCCAGCACCCAGCCCCCUUCCUCUCUCCGCUCCCCGCCCCUCCUUCCUCGCAUCAGACAAAGGUGGAUGAAGUUCUUUUCAAGUUUCAAAGGCAGUUGCUGGGCAGCUUUGCAGAAACAAUAACUCUUUUAUUGGGAACAAAUGUUGACAUUUGACGGGCGCGGGAGGCAGCGCCCGCGCCGGCCGCCGGGCAAGCGCCCCGGUGCUCUCGGCAGCCCCCGGCCCCCGGGGCCCACCUGAGAUUAAAGCGCGAAUUCCGAUAAAUCAGCUCUAAGGAAACCCUGGGCCGCGGAGAGCAGAAGGGCUGUCGCGGAUCCACCACGCGGGCGCCGGGCCGCGGAGCCGGGAGCGCGCCCAGGCCUGCACCCGCAGCAAAGCCAAGGCCACCGCCCCAAAGCCCAUCUGCUCCUGGUCGCCCCGUUUUGCCGACGUCUCCCCGGCCUCAGUCAACAACAGCAAACUUCUAUCUUGGAGGGCUAGCAAUUGUGACACCUACCUGUGGACCAAGGAAAAAACCAAAUCAUCCCCAAUCUUUCAGUUCCACAACAA
rnacentral:lncRNA from 10 species